rfam:Schistosoma mansoni, Puerto Rico, WGS project CABG01000000 data, contig: 0135
AUUCAGCUGACUAGUCCCAAAUAGGACGAAACGCGCGUCAAUCUCGAU